ACAGCAGCAGCCGCGGUAAUACGUAGGUGGCAAGCGUUGUCCGGAAUUAUUGGGCGUAAAGGGCCCGCAGGCGGUUUCUUAAGUCUGAUGUGAAAGCCCCCGGCUCAACCGGGGAGGGUCAUUGGAAACUGGGAAACUUGAGUGCAGAAGAGGAGAGUGGAAUUCCACGUGUAGCGGUGAAAUGCGUAGAGAUGUGGAGGAACACCAGUGGCGAAGGCGACUCUCUGGUCUGUAACUGACGCUGAGGAGCGAAAGCGUGGGGAGCGAACAGGAUUAGAUACCCCAGUAGUCCCUGUCUCUUUAUU
rnacentral:rRNA from 1 species